rnacentral:lncRNA from 1 species
AAAAUACACAAUCGAUAUAUAGAAACUUGAGCGGCAUAACGACAUAAAGUUUCCAAAUCCACGGGUUUAAUUUGAUUUAACGGAAUAAAAUUGAACAAUAACAAAUUGAUAUUAUUUAAUGCUACAAACUUACAGAUUAUUUACAAAGCAUCAAAUGACUAACAUCCCAAGGAUCCACCACUCAUAACCUCAUUUGAUCUUGAAUAAU